AAGAGGAAUUCUCGAAAUUUAGCUUUGCACAGGCAAAGUGUGGGCUUUGAGAGCGAGCCAAAACUAUCUAGCGAUUUGAUGGAAUCGGAGAAGGAAUUUCUAGGGUUGAACCAGAGCUUGUACUCGACUAUUGAGCCAUACAGUUCCCGGUUUCUUAAGCCUGUAGUUUUUCUUCAUGGGGUUCAGGAGGAGGAACUUCACCAAGUAUUCAAAGCAAUCUAAGAUUCUUCAAUCCCGAGUUUUAUCGAUCAUUCUGUUUGAUCAGAUUGUUGUGGAAAGAAACAUUUGACAGAACAAAUUAGUUCCUUACUUAUAUAAAUGAAUUGAGACGAAGAGGACUGCAUCACGCAAAAACUGAAUCAUCUCAGUCUUUCAGAAAAUCUAUUGUAGGGAGCGGAUGGAAAGAAGCACGACCCAUACUGCGAAACCUGGAGGAAGAGAUAGGCAGAGCAGCAUUUUGUUGCUUUGGAUUCACAACUAUGUACGCUCUUUCUGAGUACUUUUUAUGUUGGUUUUUGUAAAUUGAUAUA